UACGAAGGGGGGCUAGCGUUGCUCGGAAUGACUGGGCGUAAAGGGCGCGUAGGCGGUUUGGACAGUCAGAUGUGAAAUUCCUGGGCUCAACCUGGGGGCUGCAUUUGAUACGUUCGGACUAGAGUGGGGGAAGAGGGUCGUGGAAUUCCCAGUGUAGAGGUGAAAUUCGUAGAUAUUGGGAAGAACACCGGUGGCGAAGGCGGGCGACCUGGUCCUUGACUGACGCUGAGGCGCGAAAGCGUGGGGAGCAAACAGG
rnacentral:rRNA from 1 species